rnacentral:rRNA from 1 species
UAGAUAAGAGGGCAGACCAUGUUAAGCACCUCCAAUAAGAGAUUAAACAAUUUGGUACCCUGCCCGCAUGUCUUUGGUUGGGGCGACCGUGGGGUAACAACUAACCCCCAUGUAGACUGGGAGUAAUUCUCCUAGAAGCAAGAACCACAUUUCUAACUAACAGAAUCUCUGACUAAAGAGAUCCGGCAAUGCCGACCAACGGACCGAGUUACCCCAGGGAUAACAGCGCAAUCCUCUUCUAGAGCCCUUAUCAAGAAGCGGGUUUACGACCUCGAUGUUGGAUCAGGACAUCCUGAUGGUGCAGAAGCUAUCAAG